rnacentral:rRNA from 1 species
UACGGAGGGUGCGAGCGUUGUCCGGAAUCACUGGGCGUAAAGGGCGCGUAGGCGGCCUGAUAAGUAGGGGGUGAAAUCCUGCGGCUUAACCGCAGGGCUGCCUUCUAAACUGUCAGGCUCGAGCACAGUAGAGGCAGGUGGAAUUCCUGGUGUAGCGGUGGAAUGCGUAGAGAUCCGGAAGAACACCGGUGGCGAAGGCGGCCUGCUGGGCAGUUUAGCUGACACUGAGGCGCGACAGCGUGGGGAGCAAACAGG